CUCUAUCUCUUUCUUGAUUUUAGGGAGUACAUUGGGAGCAAAACGUCUAGGAGGCUGCCUAUGAGGUUUAAAGUUAGGCUUAGUUGGUAACCUAUGUUCCACCAAGUCUCUAUCUAAACCAGACAUUUGUUCAUAUUCCCAAGCAAAACAAUCUUUGUACUCUUUUAGCAAAGCGAUUAACUUGUUACUAACCUCUUGGUCGAGCAUUU
rnacentral:lncRNA from 1 species